UUCAGGACAGGCCUCCUGUGCAGACAGGCCUACUGUUUUAUCAAUUUGCAUAAAAAGAAGCUGCUUACUGCUUGGACAUCCAACUGGAGUCAGAUGUUGCUAUGGAAAUGGACAAAAAAACCCACACCAGCAGUUUCUUACUUACAUGCUGCAUACUUACCAGCAAAUCCAAGAAACAAGCAACCUAAACAGGAACUGGUUGAGCCUCAUUACCCCACUAGUGGACUGCUCCAGAUCUGGAUUCUUCCGGCCCAUGUGGCCGCAGCGUGAGAGAGGAGGCGUGUGGCAUGAAAUGCGUCUGUGGAGUGGAAGGGAACACAGUCACUUCAUACCGGCGCUGUGUAUCAAUGCCUCCAUCUGCGAGAGGAGAGUGGACAAAGGGAAAACGAGGACAUGACCUUUGUAUAAUUAAAAGCUGCUUGCUUUUAUUUCCUCCAC